UACGUAGGGGGCUAGCGUUGUCCGGAAUCAUUGGGCGUAAAGCGCGUGUAGGCGGCCCGGUAAGUCCGCUGUGAAAGUCCAGGGCUUAACCCUGGGAUGCCGGUGGAUACUGUCGGGCUCGAGUCCGGAAGAGGCGAGUGGAAUUCCUGGUGUAGCGGUGGAAUGCGCAGAUAUCAGGAGGAACACCGAUGGCGAAGGCAGCUCGCUGGGACGGUACUGACGCUGAGGCGCGAAAGCGUGGGGAGCGAACAGG
rnacentral:rRNA from 1 species